rnacentral:lncRNA from 1 species
UACUUCCUUGUACCAGAUUUAAAGCCUCCAUUUGGAGCAGGUUCUAAUUUAAUCGCCUUUUUAUUUUACUUGCCAUGCCUUACUUUAUUUAAUUCCUUGUCAUGCUUUACUUUAUUUAAUUAAUUGCCAUGUUUUACUUUAUUUAAUUUCCUUCCAUUGUCUUUACUUUAUUUAAUUUUCUCGCCACUAUCUUUAUUGCUCGUUUUAAUUGUU